UUGGUGUAAGUAGUUUGUACUCAACCGGUCAGUUGUAAUAUAUAUCCGCAACGGCAUUCAUUGAUUAUAUUUGACUGAACCAUUUUGAGUAUGCUAGAGGGUAACGAUCUCAUUAACUUCUCUCAUUAUCACCUAAUUGUUAAUUAAGUUUUAAUAGAGAAGAUAUCAAAAAUUUAUUAAUUUGAAAGCCUAUAUAUAUAUUUUACUUAAACAAUGUUUCAAUUAGCACUCACAACCUUGAAUGAUGACAACAUCCAAUUUUUUUACAUCUAUAAAUCUACAGCAACAUUUGUUGCCAAUUGGUCCCAUCAUCAUUAU
rnacentral:lncRNA from 1 species